CCGCUAUGUGUCGAAUUCAACCCCUACGCGUUUCAUAGACAAAAGAAACCCCUCAUUUGACAGGAGCUGGCGGCUGACUGCUGAAUUACCGAUAUUUGUCAGCCAAACCAUCCCCUGGCAUUUUUUUUUGUUGUUAUUCGUGAUUUAUUUAUUAGAAAGUGGACGUUCGGAUCGUUAUAAGUGAAGUUAUAAACAGCGAGUUAUAUCAGUGCCCAAGAUAUAUAUUCGCAAUUGCGUAAACCCAGUAUAAUACUAUGGCGAUAUGGAAUGUACGAUAGAUUCUCAUAUUAGGCAUAAUAUGUCUCUGUUUGAUGAAGAAUGAACACAGAAGACCAAGAGAGGAAUACCAAUACCGCUAGUAUUAUACAUUCUAGCAGCACUUCGAUUCUAUGAAACGGGAUGUUAUCAGACUGUAGGUGCAGUCCAUCAAGCAUUCUAUGAAAUAACAGAAAUGCCAAAAGUCAAGCUGUAUUGAUGUCACGCAUAGGUAUACAUAUAAACAACCCCGGAGGACCCUAUACACAGAUUUAAAGAAACCGGCUAUCAUGGCAGGGAAUAGCAGUGAUGAGCUCUGAGAAUACUGUUUUACCAAGAAUACUGAGAAUACUUUGGUCCUUGAAAAUCUGAGUUUUCAGAUCACAGUAAUUGGAAGACCCUCAUACCUUGAAAAGUCAGCAGCAUUUAAUAUAAAAGUAGUAGGAGUGAGUGCAGUGUAUUGUAAGGUGGUCACUCACUCUGAAGUCCAUAACAAUAGAAAAUAUAUACAAAUCUUAAUUGAAUGAAUGAUGGAAAAUAAAAAUUUAUUGAUUCACAUCUUUAAUAAAGAUAAUUAUUAAAUGUUUACUUCUGCAUUUUUCAUUUAAGU